rnacentral:rRNA from 1 species
CCUACGGGAGGCAGCAGUGAGGAAUAUUGGUCAAUGGACGCAAGUCUGAACCAGCCAUGCCGCGUGCAGGAAGACGGCUCUAUGAGUUGUAAACUGCUUUUGUACGAGGGUAAACGCAGAUACGCGUAUCUGUCUGAAAGUAUCGUACGAAUAAGGAUCGGCUAACUCCGUGCCAGCAGCCGCGGUAAUACGGAGGAUUCAAGCGUUAUCCGGAUUUAUUGGGUUUAAAGGGUGCGUAGGCGGUCGGAUAAGUUAGAGGUGAAAUCCCGAGGCUCAACUUCGGAAUUGCCUCUGAUACUGUUCGGCUAGAGAGUAGUUGCGGUAGGCGGAAUGUAUGGUGUAGCUGUGAAAUGCUUAGAGAUCAUACAGAACACCGAUUGCGAAGGCAGCUUACCAAGCUACUUCUGACGUUGAGGCACGAAAGCGUGGGGAGCAAACAGGAUUAGAUACCCUUGUAGUC